CGUAGCUGCCUUGUGGUUCCAGCUUCCCGCCGCUUUGGGUUCCUUCGCCUGUUCACCACUUUCAAUGUUUGGUUUCUUAGGCAGCUUCAUCUGAUUCCCCAGACCCCCCGUCCUGUGAACAGGGGCCUGUUCCAAGGUGUGAAUUUUCAGUAAAUCUUGUCUGGAGACAUCCUUCAUGGCCAAGCAGGAGCACCUGUGGAAUGACCAGCCACAUAUCUUGUGAGUUGUCAGAAAGCAGCAGGCAGCAUGGUAACCUGUCAUCUUGCAUUUGUCUCCCAACUUUUGCUAUCACGUCUCCCUUUCCCUCACUCUCACCUGGGAUUGACCUGGUUGCCUUGACCUCUGCUUACUGGAGUCUCUGAAUGUAAGGAGUUUAUAGUAAGCUUUAGGAGGACAAGGCCUACCUCUACAUUAAAUAAAACUAUCAAUAGCUAUUUGACAAAUACCAAAUGAAUAGGUUAUAGCAGGGCACAAAUCUGAGUCCCAGCCUGAAUAUUAUUAAGUAUGUAUGCAUUUUCCAUGUCUUGCUUUCCUCAUAUAUAAAAUGGAGAUGUGACACGUGUGUAGCACUUUCAAACAUUAAUAGUGAGAAUAAAAAAUUGGUACAGCCUCCAGGGAAGAAAAUUUGAUGAUAUGUGUAAAAAUUUCAUGUGCUUUUACUCUGAUUCUGCAGAUAAAUCUUGAAAUUUAUUCUAUAGAUACUCUUGCUGUGUGUAAAGUCCAUUCACUGAAACACUGUUUAUAGCAGAUUAAGAACAGCAGGUAUAUCCACACAAUGGAAUACUCUGCCACUGAAAAAAACAGACGCUGAGAGAACUGCCAUGGAAAAGUACUCGAGAUCCUGCCAUUUUCAACACCCUGGAUGGACCUUGAGGGCAUUAUGCUAACUGAAAUAAAUCAGACAGAGAAAGACAAA